rnacentral:sRNA from 1 species
GCAGACAUACAACAUUAGUUUAACUUUUCUUUUGUUUUUUUUUUUUUUUUUUUUUUAUACACCCUUGCUUUGUCGUUUUGUUAUACACACACACACUCACACACACACACUAGACAGACAAAAACAGAUUGAAAGUCAAUACGUUUUAGUAGAAACACAUUUUGUUUUUCUUAAUUUUUUUUUUGUUUGAAUUGGAUUUGAUUAAAAACGGCUCGUAAAUAGGCAGCAAAGUCAGUAAAAGGGCUUUUUGAGCAUUAAUAUUGUAGGUUCUGGCGGUACAGUCACAAAUCAAAUGUUAUCUACUCUAAAAGUGCACGUGCAAGUCAACAGCUAGUAACUGAGGGCUUCAUCAGAAGGUAAAGUAAACUUUUGGGCAUUAGCUUUAGAAAUUGGUUUAGGGCUCGUAGAAUUGUGAGCAGAACCGAUUUUCGAAGCAAGUUUAAAACGUAUACGAGUUUUAAACGAUCGUUAAAACGAACGUUUAAAAAUCGCAAAAGUUCUAUUUGAAUGUUAUACGCGCAUUAACAUCAAAUAGAGCAAUAGAGCAACAACAAAUAAAGGGAUUACAUUAAAUGUUGGGUUAACGUUAUACAAGCCGAGCAAAAGACAAACCAACUAUUUUUAGGGCAUGUAUAAUGUUGCAGCACGCAUAACAAAUAGCAAAUGUUAUACGUGCCGAGAAAAAAAGUGUUAAAAAAAAUAUAUAUAUAGGAGUUAGGAAAAGAAAUGUAACGUUAUACGUGCCUUAACAAAUACUUUCA